rnacentral:rRNA from 1 species
GAUGAACGCUGGCGGCGUGCCUAAUACAUGCAAGUCGAGCGAACAGACGAGGCGCUUGCUCCUCUGACGAUAGCGGCGGAGGGGUGAAUAACAUGUGUAAAACCCCCCUAUAAGACUGGGAUCACUUCGGGACACCGGCUCUAACACCGGAUAAUAUAUUGAACCGUAUGGUUCAAUAGUGAAAGACGGUUUUGCUGUCACUUAUAGAUGGAUCCGCGCCGCAUUAGCUAGUUGGUAAGGUAACGGCUUACCAAGGCAACGAUGCGUAGCCGACCUGAGAGGGUGAUCGGCCACACUGGAACGGAGACACGGUCCAGACUCCUACGGGAGGCAGCAGUAGGGAAUCUUCCGCAAUGGGCGAAAGCCUGACGGAGCAACGCCGCGUGAGUGAUGAAGGUCUUCGGAUCGUAAAACUCUGUUAUUAGGGAAGAACAAAUGUGUAAGUAACUAUGCACGUCUUGACGGUACCUAAUCAGAAAGCCACGGCUAACUACGUG